rnacentral:lncRNA from 10 species
CAGGCAGCAUUCUGAAAAUCACCCUCACGGGCCUGCCUCUGCUCCACAGGACACCCGAUGGCCCGAGGAGCUCAGAUUCACCUCUCCCACCAGGGUUCUCUGUUCCUUUAAAAUCCCACCUUUCCUGUCCUUCUGAUUCAGAGGAAGGAGUUCUCAGGACUGUGUCUCCUCCUCCACGGCCCUGGGAUCUUUGCCUAUAGAGCUCCUUCUCCUCCAUCUGUGAGCAAACCUCCUCCCAUAGGCAGAAACCACAUCCACACACACAAACCCACACAACACACCAACAUCACACAGACACCAUGCACACUCAUAAACCCACACACAACACACCAAUAUCACACAAACACAUAUAAACCCACACACAACACACUGACAUUACACACACCAACAUCACAUACACAUAAACCUACACAACACACUGACAUCAUACACACAGACACCACACACAUAAACCCACACAACACACCAACAUCACACACAGUCACCACACACACAUAAACCCAUACACAACACACCAAAAUCAGACACACACAUAAACCCACACACAACACACUGACAUCACACACACUGACAUGAUGCACAAAUAUACACCCACACACAACACACUGACAUCACACACACAGACACCACACACACACAUAAACCCACACACAACACACUGAUAUCACACACACCAACAUCACACACAAACAUAGACCCACACACAACACACCAACAUCACAAACACAGACACCACACACACACAUAAAUCCUUACACAACACGCUGACAUCACACACACAGACACUAUAUACACACACAAACCCACACAACACACCGACAUCACACACACAGACACUAUGUACACAAACAUCACCCACAGACACCAGAUGCACACACCACACACACUCAAACUUCUCUCUUACACACACUCUUCCAUCACACCCUCACAGAGUCAUGACACAUGAGCAUACUACACACAUAUCACACAAAUAUUCAC